GAUAAUUACAGUUUUGGUCCCCCAAGUUUGCACGUUUUUCAGUUUUGGUCCCCCAUUUACCGCCGUCAACAAAAUACACACUAAUGUUGUCAAAUUUUAACACAUUUAGUCCCUCCGUCUGUUUGACCGUUAAGUAGUAACGGUCAACUGUUGAAUUAGGGUUGAAUUUGGGAUUUUUCAUAGAUAAAAAUUGCACCCAGACCCCUGCAUUCUUUUAAAAUAUUCUAGAACCCCCUAAAAUUUUACCCAACCAUAAUUUAACCCCAAUUUCAUCAUUUAAUCAAUUUUGACAAACGACCCCGAUUUUUUUACCACCAUUACCGUUGACCCUUGACCGCCGUUGAUUUUUUUUUUUUUGUACUUUUUUUUUCGGCAUUGAUUUUUUUUAUUUACUAUUGAUUUUGACGCCGUUCACCGACAUUGUAUUCUCGGUUAACAAUGUUGACUUUUUUUAUUUUUCUUGAUUUUUUUCGAACUUUUUCCUUUAACUUUUUUUUUUCCGAUCAACACAAUUACUGUAUAACACAAUAAUAAUACAAUAUUAAUAUAUAGUAAUAUUAAAAUUACAACCUUCUAAGAAAGUUUUUAUCUAAAAUUUAGGGCCUAAAUACAAUUUUAAAAAAAUUCUAAAAUCCAUAAUUUCUUCCCCUCAAUUUUUUCUUCGUGGAACCGCG
rnacentral:lncRNA from 1 species